CCGGCCCUCUUCUCCCCCAACUGCAGCGACCCGUGACGCCAGAUUGAAGGAGGCUACCCCGCCGCCGAGGUUGGACCCACCUCAUCAACCCGCCCAGUGAGCACCCGGCUCUCUUUUCCCCAGCGACCGACGACUUUUCGCUCUAGGAAGGGGCUUUGAGAGAUGAAGAGGAAGCCACUCUUGCUAUGUCCAAAGCAAUGGAAAACGGCAAGUACAAUAAUCAAGA